GGGUCAGUAGGUUGGUCGUGCCACCGGUACGUACUGGUCUAACUGAUUCCUCCUUCCUGAAGAACCGUAAUGCCAUUAAUUUGGUGUUGCGGGGAAACAGGACUGUUACUUUGAAAAAAUUAGAGUGUUUAAAGCAAGCUAACGCUUGAAUACAUUAGCAUGGAAUAAUGAAAUAGGACGAUCGAUCCUAUUUUGUUGUUUUCUAGGAUUGACGUA
rnacentral:rRNA from 1 species